rnacentral:rRNA from 1 species
GAUGAACGCUGGCGGCGUGCCUAAUACAUGCCAGUCGAGCGAACGGACGAGAAGCUUGCUUUUCUGAUGUUAGCGGCGGACGGGUGAGUAACACGUGGAUAACCUACCUAUAAGACUGGGAUAACUUCGGGAAACCGGAGCUAAUACCGGAUAAUAUUUUGAACCGCAUGGUUCAAAAGUGAAAGACGGUCUUGCUGUCACUUAUAGAUGGAUCCGCGCUGCAUUAGCUAGUUGGUAAGGUAACGGCUUACCAAGGCAACGAUGCAUAGCCGACCUGAGAGGGUGAUCGGCCACACUGGAACUGAAACACGGUCCAGACUCCUACGGGAGGCAGCAGUAGGGAAUCUUCCGCAAUGGGCGAAAGCCUGACGGAGCAACGCCGCGUGAGUGAUGAAGGUCUUCGGAUCGUAAAACUCUGUUAUUAGGGAAGAACAUAUGUGUAAGUAACUGUGCACAUCUUGACGGUACCUAAUCAGAAAGCCACGGCUAACUACGUG